AUUGAACGCUGGCGGCAUGCUUUACACAUGCAAGUCGAACGGUAACAGGCCGCAAGGUGCUGACGAGUGGCGAACGGGUGAGUAAUGCAUCGGAACGUGCCUAGUCGUGGGGGAUAACGCAGCGAAAGCUGCGCUAAUACCGCAUACGAUCUGUGGAUGAAAGCGGGGGACCGUAAGGCCUCGCGCGAUUGGAGCGGCCGAUAUCAGAUUAGGUAGUUGGUGGGGUAAAGGCUCACCAAGCCAACGAUCUGUAGCUGGUCUGAGAGGACGACCAGCCACACUGGGACUGAGACACGGCCCAGACUCCUACGGGAGGCAGCAGUGGGGAAUUUUGGACAGUGGGCGCAAGCCUGAUCCAGCCAUGCCGCGUGCGGGAAGAAGGCCUUCGGGUUGUAAACCGCUUUUGUCAGGGAAGAAAAGACUCCUGUUAAUACCGGGGGUUCAUGACGGUACCUGAAGAAUAAGCACCGGCUAACUACGUGCCAGCCGCCGCCGUAACAC
rnacentral:rRNA from 1 species